rnacentral:rRNA from 1 species
UACGUAGGGGGCUAGCGUUGUCCGGAAUCAUUGGGCGUAAAGCGCGCGUAGGCGGCCCGGUAAGUCCGCUGUGAAAGUCAAAGGCUCAACCUUUGAAUGUCAGCGGAUACUGCCGGGCUAGAGUCCGGAAGAGGCGAGUGGAAUUCCUGGUGUAGCGGUGGAAUGCGCAGAUAUCAGGAGGAACACCAACGGCGAAGGCAGCUCGCUGGGACGGUACUGACGCUGAGGCGCGAAAGCGUGGGGAGCAAACAGGG